ACUUGUUCGCCAGAAAAUUACGGGCGAAAGCCUAAAACUCAAAAGACUUGACGGUGUCCCAAUCCUGCCUAGAGGAGCCUGCUUCAUAAUCGAUAACCCCCGUUCAACCCUACCUUCCCUCGAAAUCCCAGCCUAUAUACCGCCGUCAUAUACCGCUUACCUUCUGAAAGACAUACAGUAAGCCUAAUAGCCCGAGCUAAAAAGUCAGGUCAAGGUGUAGCCAAUGGGAAGGAGAAAGUGGGCUACAUUUUCUACUCAAGAACACACGAAACUUAUCCUGAAAUAAGAUAAAUGAAGGCGGAUUUAGUAGUAAG
rnacentral:rRNA from 1 species